CGCGAAUUCGCCCUUCGGGGUGCAGCAGGCGCGAAAACUUUACAAUGCGGGGAACCGUGAUAAGGGAACUUCGAGUGCCCGUAAAAUCGGGCUGUCCAUCUGUUUAAAUAACAGGUGAAGAAAGGGCCGGGCAAGACCGGUGCCAGCCGCCGCGGUAAUACCGGCGGCUCGAGUGGUGGCCACUAUUACUGGGCUUAAAGCGUUCGUAGCUGGUCUGUUAAGUCUCUGGGGAAAUCUACUGGCUUAACCAAUAGGCGUUUCAGGGAUACUGGCAGACUAGGGACCGGGAGAGGUGAGGGGUACUCCAGGGGUAGGAGUGAAAUCCUGUAAUCCUUGGGGGACCACCUGUGGCGAAGGCGCCUCACCAGAACGGCUCCGACAGUGAGGGACGAAAGCUGGGGGAGCAAACCGGAUUAGAUACCCGGGUAGUCCCAGCCGUAAACGAUGCGCGUUAGGUGUAUCGGUGACCACGAGUCACCGAGGUGCCGAAGAGAAAUCGUGAAACGUGCCGCCUGGGAAGUACGGUCGCAAGGCUGAAACUUAAAGGAAUUGGCGGGGGAGCAC
rnacentral:rRNA from 1 species